GAUCAAGCGCGAGAAGGGCGUUUGGUGGAUGCCUUGGCAGUAAGAGGCGAUGAAGGACGUGAUACUCUGCGAUAAGCUUUGGGAAGUCGAGAAUAGACGCUAUACCCAAAGAUCUCCGAAUGGGGCAACCCAACUGAUACUUUGUUAUUGUUACACUUUGUGUAAUCAAUAAUGGGGUAAAACAGUUAUUAAUUACCUGAAUACAUAGGGUUUUUAAAGCAAACCUGGGGAACUGAAACAUCUAAGUACCCAGAGGAAAGGAAAUCAAUAGAUACUCCCGUAGUAGUGGCGAGCGAACCGGGACCAGCCGAGCAAUGAAUGUGACUAGAACCAGUUGGAAAGCUGGGCGAUAUGGGUGACAGCCCCGUAUAGGAAGCAUGAUUUGACGUAUUAAGUAGGGCGGAACACGUGAAAUUCUGUCUGAACAUGGGGGGACCACCCUCUAAGGCUAAGUACUCCUUACUGACCGAUAGCGAACCAGUACCGUGAGGGAAAGGUGAAAAGCACCCCGACGAGGGGAGUGAAACAGUUUCUGAAACCGGACGCCUACAAACAGUUGGAGCCUCUUUAUGGGGUGACAGCGUACCUUUUGUAUAAUGGGUCAACGACUUGGUCUUACUAGCAAGCUUAAGCCGAUAGGUGUAGGCGCAGCGAAAGCGAGUCUUAAUAGGGCGAAUGAGUUAGUAGGAUCAGACCCGAAACCG
rnacentral:rRNA from 1 species